UACGGGAGGCAGCAGUGGGGAAUAUUGCACAAUGGGCGCAAGCCUGAUGCAGCCAUGCCGCGUGUAUGAAGAAGGCCUUAGGGUUGUAAAGUACUUUCAUCGGGGAGGAAAAACAAAACUAAUAAUUUUAUUUCUUGACGUUACCCGAAAAAGAAGCACCGGCUAACUCCGUGCCAGCAGCCGCGGUAAUACGGAGGGUGCUAGCGUUAAUCAGAAUUACUGGGCGUAAAGAGCACGUAGGUGGUUUUUUUAAGUUCAGAUGUGAAAUCCCUGGGCUUAACCUAGGAACUGCAUUUUGAAACUGAAAUACUAGAGUAUCGUAGAGGGAGGUAGAAUUCUAGGUGUAGCGGUGAAAUGCGUAGAUAUCUGGAGGAAUACCUGUGGCGAAAGCGGCCUCCUAAACGAAUACUGACACUGAGGUGCGAAAGCGUGGGGAGCAAACAGGGAUUAGAUACC
rnacentral:rRNA from 1 species